rnacentral:lncRNA from 1 species
UUCAACUCUUAACUUUUAAAUUUGCGCUUAGGAUAGCCUCUUCAUCUCCUAUCACUUCUUAAAUUUGCCCUUUUCUUAUUAAAAUUUUGAUUAAAAUCAAUUCACCAACUUUGAAAUUUUUACCAUGAACUACGAGGUUUUCAUCUCUCAUUUUUAUGUUGGUACGUAGGCACAAGAUUGAAGGUCUUGUCAAACACAAAAAUAUAAUCA